ensembl:lncRNA
AUCAAAUAUGAGGGCAGUGACAGAGGCGGUACUGGAAGCGUGAGGUACACUAAAGAGAAACUCUUGACCUGAAGUCAAGUAAACAUUAAGCUAGGAAUCUCAGGUGUGUGUGUGGCCAGGAAGGGCUGUCAGGUGUUGAAUGUUAGAAUUGACCUGUCAAAACGUAAAGACCGUGUCGCCCAAUGGUAUGAAAGGCUAACAUGGUUUAUUGGACACGAAUGAGGUUGCUCUCUGUUCAGGCUGUGGUGGUCUUCUUCUAAUGGAGGCCCUGAGCCAGGCCAAACUUCUAAAGUGGACACAACAUUGAGAAUUGUUGUGUUUUGCGGAGAAGGAGGCUAUUUUUAGUGCUAGAGAAAGAAGUGCGACACUAAUGUGGAAAUAGCAACCACCAGAGUUCACCUGCACUCACGCUAUGAUUUCAUUUCGUCCUAAUGUAGUCUUUUUAGUGUGUGUGUGUGUGUGUGUGCGUGCGUGUGUCCAUAGACAUGGAGGUUUUGUACAUAUGUAGAACUACAGUGUACGUGACGCAACAGUAUGAAGGUAUUCGUGUCAUGCUGACGUGUAUCUAACCUCAUUUGGUCAUGUCGACCAUGUGCUGGUGUUUUAUUUCCAUAUUCAAAGUAUGACUAUCAGUACAUUGUUUCUACCUUUUAUUCUUUGUCUCAUGUCAGGCGUUAAUGUUUUUAUUUUGUAUAUUUUGAUCCAUUUGAAGGAUGUUGUGUGUACAAACACAUGUUUGUGUUGGUUUUGUGUGUGUGUGUUUCAAUCAAUUUGUCACAAGGACAUUUUAUUUUUCAACCUUGUCUUUCAGUGUGAAGCUACGAAGAACAGCAAGUCUUAACCCUCCAUAAUCCUUUGUAUUAGGCUCAAGUGACUGUGUGUGUGUUGGGCUGUGUGUGUGUUGGGCUGUGUGUGAGUGUGUGAGAGAAAGUUGAUGUAUGGGGGGGGGGGGUCAAGCACCUUUCCAGAGUGCCUUGCGGUAGAAGUAUAAAGUUCUGUAUCAGCGCAGCUGCCAGUGAUGGAUUCACUCCACAUAGUGCUUACAUUGUGUGUGUGUGUGUGUGUGUGUGUGUGUGUGUGUGUGUGUGAUCCAUCACCUAGAAGGACCAGCCUGAGGAGUUAGUUUAGUGUUCAUAUUGAAGUCAUUCUCUACAAAUAAAUGAAAAAAAAUAAACAGGCGCAUCAUUUCCUGUUAGCCUCUGACUCCGGCAUGGAUGUGGCGGAGAUCCGGCUGACGUCAGCGCCACGUCCGGGCCACGUCUGGGCCGAGUCCAGCCCGGCUCUCUGGGCUCCUUAUGUUAGCUCUUUCCAACAUACUCCUGUGUCUUAAUAUUCUGGUUCCGUGGAUGUGAUUUUUCUUUCCUUUUAUUUGUAUGUUUCUCUUGUUGUAGCUGGAUAGCUUCAGGAAGAUUUGAUUUGAUUAUUUGAAGGAGACGUGUCGAAGGAUGAGCUGAUUUAAUGCUGAGAUAAUGUGUUUUGGGUGAGCUUACGAUGUUAUAGACAAUCACUAGUGUGUGUAUUUAUAUAAUAAGUGUCUUAAGUGUGUGUCUUUGGAGGAAUGAAAUGAAAUGUCUUAGGCUCUGCUUUGGCAUGUCAAUACCAGAGCGCUCUUCUUUGGCCAAUGAUACUGUGCACAAACUGACCAGCCUCUCAAGUUGUUGCUUCAGCGUCAAGCACUUGGUUUUGGACCAAUCACCUUUUUAGCAGAAGGCUUCAGCAAACCAGAGCAAUGUGUAAAUAUGACCUAGUUUGGGGAGUUUGUGCUUGAACACCCUUGAAUCACACACGUAUAUCUGUUUAUUGAAGUCUUAUGACUGCCUGGAGUUGAUUUUUAAUUUUUUUUUUUUUUACUGACAUUGUAAAAAUGGGUGUUAUGCUGUUUUAAACAAGGGCAGUAACUGUUCCGCUCUCCAUUUCAGCUCAAGUUGAUUUCUGUAGGUGUUUCACUAGCACUAGUACUGGUGUGAACCCUAUGGAUUAGUUCUGUUUCACUAGCACUAGUACUGGUGUGAACCCUAUGGAUUAGUUCUGUUUCACUAACGAACUGGUGUGUACUCUAUGGCAGUGGUUCUCAAACUUUUUGUCCGGGGCCCCCAUAAAAUCCAUUUGCCAAGUCUCGCGACCCCCCUCGCGAACACCAUUUCUGAUAGACUGUAUGCACAGGGCAGCAAGAUCAUUUUGCGACCCCCAAAAAAACGUUUGGCGACCCCACUUGGGGUCCCGACCCCUAGUUUGAGAACCACUGCUCUAUGGAUAAGUUCUGUGGGUGUUUCACUAGCACUGGUGUGUACUCUAUGGAUUCGUUCUGUAGCGUUCACUAGUACUGGUGUGUACUCUAUGGAUUCGUUCUGUGGGUGUGUCACUAGUUCACUAGUACCGGUGUGUACUCUAUGGAUUCGUUCUGUUUCACUAGUACUGGUGUGUACUCUAUGGAUUAUGGAUCAGUACUCAAAUGUGUAUUUUUGUAUUUAUAGAAAUCUAUGUAGAUUUACUAAAUGGUAAUCGUGGGGUGCACAUGGUCUGAGUCUGCAAACUUACAAUGAAUUAAAUGAUUCCAGACGUAGCACUGUUGUCUGUUCAUUUAGCUCAUACAUUAGCAUUAGCAUGGUGCCUGUUUAAUUCACGUUAGGCAUGUUAUGGCCUCGUUUGAAACACACACACACAUAGGCAGUGAUUUUUAAGAACGUGUUUGUGUUUAUUGAAUGUACAUGGCUUUCAGUUGAAAAAACUUCCUGUGUUAAGAGGUAAGCUUGGAGUUUCAUAUGACAAUCAGUGUCAAACACACACUCACACACAAACACACACACACACGUGUUGAGAUUAAGUAAGGAAGACUGUGGCAUUAGCAGUGCAUGUUGUG